GAGCUAGAGGAAAGCUCCUGUUUUGAAAUGCUGGGUGGUGAAAGGCUGUGUUAACUGCACUCCGCACUGGAGGAACAAAGUUGUGUGUUUCUGCCCGUCCCCAGUGGGGUGGCUGAGGUGGUCUCCAGCAGGCAGAAACCCAGAUGGCCUACUGUGCAGCCUUGUUCAGGUGACUACUUUGCAUUCUGCCCUGGAGCAAGCAUUUGCUCAUGAGCAAGGUUGGGAGGUCGCUGAGUGCAUCCGAGGUGCAGAUCUGGGAGCCAGAAGAGGAUGACAUGACGGAAGGCGACCUGGGCUACGGCCUCAGCCGGACACCUGGCAGCCUCUGCAAGCUGGAAGACUCACGUUUACGUACAUCCAGAAGAUCAGAUGGGAAGAGCUUCAGUCCUCCUCCACCUCCAAGGGAUGGGGAAGAAAGAAAUGGGGCCGUUUUCCAGUAUUUCCCGCAGAAGAGCCAGCAAACCACAAGUCCCCAGAGGCCCAGAACAUCCAGCUGUAGUCAGGAAGGGAACCCUGGAGGUAGAAAUUUUAAAAACUGAACUUGAAGCAUCUCAAAGACAACUUGAAGGGAAAGAAGAAGCACUGAAAAUUCUUCAGAGCAUGGCAGUCCUUGGGAAAGCCACAAGCCACACACAGGCGGUGCUUCAGAAAACUGUAGAACAAAAGAGAUUGUUGGAGAAGGAAAUAAAUGCCUUGCAGUGGGAAAUAGAAUUUGAUCAGAAUAGAUUUAAAAACAUAGAGGAAUCUUGGACUCAAAAAUAUGACAGACUAAACGCUGAAAAUGCAGUUCUCAAAGAGAAUUUGAAAGUGAAAACAGAAGAAAUUAGGAUGCUGAAGUCUGAAAAUGAAGUUUUGAACCAGCAGUACUUGGAAGCCCUUGCAAUGCUGGACGCCAAACAGCAGAAGGUUGCUCGGGACAGCAGGUGUCGGGAGGAAAGUGGCUUUGCAGAGGCGUCGGCUCUCCAGCUCGCAGUGCUUGGAGCCUGCCUCUGCCACGGUCCUGGAGGGAGUCCCUGUCCCUGUGCCAGAACGGCGGCAUCUGCUCGGAAACUGGUUCUUCAGCUCAAACAUGAGCUGGAACUUUUGCAGAAGAGCAAAGAAGAAGCUUACAUCAUGGCAGAUGCGUUCCGAAUUGCAUUUGAGCAACAGUUAAUGAGGAGAAAUGACCAGGCCCUGAGAUUGACGCAAGUGGAUGAAAUUUGUAAAAAAGCAAAAAACCGGCUAAGUUGGAAGCCCUUUAAAGCGGACGUUUUAGGACAUCAACCACAAAGGAGUAAGAAGACAUUAGGGCAGAAACUGCUGGGUAUGCUGCCUUCAGAAAACAGUUCUAAGAGGACUGAAGACCAGGGUAAUCCUCAAGAAGUCUUUAAGAUGCUCAUAGAUUUGUUGAAUGAUAAAGAAGAAGCGCUGGCUCAUCAGAGAAAAGUUAGUUACAUGCUUGCUCGAGCACUGGAAGACAAAGACACGGCCUCAAAAGAAAACAAAGACAAAAGUCCUAUGAAAGAGAACUUUCCAAUCAGAAAGCCCUGGCAGAAAUCUUCACAAUUCUCUGUUUUGUGUGAUUCUAUACAUUUAAGUACCCAGACUUUUAAUUCUGUGGGCUGUGCUUGUUCAAUCCAGUACCCUCCAACAGAUCCAAACUACACAAGAACUCUUAAAAGAUCCUGUUCUUUGCCAUCAAAUAUUGUAUUUUGA
rnacentral:lncRNA from 1 species